GUUCGGAUCGCAGGCUGCAACCCGCCUGCGUGAAGUUGGAAUCGCUAGUAAUCGCGGAUCAGCAUGCCGCGGUGAAUACGUUCCCGGGCCUUGUACACACCGCCCGUCACACCAUGAGAGUCGGGAACACCCGAAGUCCGUAGUCUAACCGCAAGGGGGACGCGGCCGAAGGUGGGUUCGAUAAUUGGGGUGAAGUCGUAACAAGGUACC
rnacentral:rRNA from 1 species